CCCUUUUGUCAUGUUGUCCUGCGGGAGAGGACUUGGAGCGGGCAGCUUGUAAAACGAUUGCUUUUCUCUUUAAUGUUUUCGUCAGAAUAAAUCGAAGAAAGCCAAACCGAGUC